AUCAAAACUUUCAACAACGGAUCUCUUGGUUCUGGCAUCGAUGAAGAACGCAGCGAAAUGCGAUAAGUAAUGUGAAUUGCAGAAUUCAGUGAAUCAUCGAAUCUUUGAACGCACAUUGCGCCCGGCAGUAAUCUGCCGGGCAUGCCUG
rnacentral:rRNA from 1 species